AUAACUUGAACUCUUUAGACGUCUUGUUUCCGGUUCUAAAAAACUUCAGUUAAAAAAGAUUGAAGCUUCGGCUUCUAAACAGCCGAGAAUUCAUGGCCAAAACAUUGGCUUUCAGAUCAAUGAGAAGGGGUUUUGCAUCUUCUGCUCUUAAAUGGGAAUGUGGAGUCUCAAUGGUUCAAGGAGCUUCUAGAGGAAUUGGCCUUGAAUUUGUUGAACAUCCUCUGGAAAAGAAUGACAAAGGGCAUGUUAUUGCUACUUGCUGAAAUCCUAGUGGGGCAACGGGAAUUACUGAUUUGAAAAAUAAGUUUGCUGAGCGCCUUGGCAUUUAGCCAUUAGACCUCACCAUUGAAAGCACUAUAGAGCGCAUGGGGCCUCUUCUGAUGGCUGGAGGAGACUUGAAAGGGAUGUUGCGUGGUUGCCAAUUUAAGUGCCAGGGUUGGCUCAAAUGAAGAAAAUCAUCUAGGGGGCCGGCAUUCAUAUCGAUGUUCAAAGUCUGCUUUAAAUCAGCUUAUGAUUUUCUUGAUUUACGGCUUCGAUUUUUAUCAAAUUUAACUGUUCACCAGCAAUGAAAUUUUACAUUACCGCAAGGUGUGCCCUUUCAGAUCCGAGCAUAUUUUAUGUGGAUGUGAUAACUUGGCUUGAGCUCCCCACUGUUUGCUAGUAUUGCUAUUGGGUAUGACAAGAAGAUCCAUGAUCACUUUAGUGACGGGCAUCUAUGUUGGCUUGUGUUUAUUUACACCUUCGCAAGGAAUAUUCUAUAUGUCAACUUUCAACACUCUUGUGAGUGCAACUUGGCAAGGAAUCUGUCAUGGGUACCAUUGCCUAAAAUGUGAGACUACUAAUGCAUAUGGGGUACCUCAUUUUCUUUUUUUGACCAUCCAAUGCACAUGCUACCGAUUGGCGAUGCAAAGCACAAGCUCGGUGUCCUGAAGUCCUUGCGAGGCAGGAAAUAUCAGUGAAGAAAUAAUUACUUUGUGAACAAAUUUCUGUGUUCUUUGAAUGAGAUUCUAAAAGAUUCCCUACAUGGCAUUUACUUAUGUGAAGGCUUUUUGGAUGUCAUUUGCUUCAUGGUUACACUUCUUUCAAAAAUUGUGAAACCUUACUGGAUGUCACCUCCCUCAUCUUGUCCAUCCACUUCCUUCGAGUAAACAUUUUCCACCUUAAAAAUUUCACGCGCACACAAUCAGUACACUUUCCCAUCUCCCCUUUCCAUUGACUAAUAUGAUUCAAGUUUCUGAUCUUCUAGCAACUCACUUAAAUCAUGUCUUGGAAUGAUUUUGAUUGGUAGUCCCUUAAGAAUAAGCAAAUACACAUCAAGAGGAUGACUAUGACCGUGGCGUGGAAACGUGGUAUCUUGGUGUGUGUUUACACAUAACUCUGUUUGGGGCCGUAAUCAAUCGCUGUUAGCUUUAGUUAUUGUUUUAUACCAAACUAAAAUGACGCACCUUAAAGUCCUCAUUAUUUGACUUCUCUUGUGAUAGUAUUUGUUUUGUUUGCUGAUUGCAGCGACAAAAACCGUGUCGGUAGAGUUUGCAUCAAAGAAGGAUCCGAUAAUAGGCAUCCUUCUGCACCCUGGCACAAUGGACACAGACCUAUCUAAGCCAUUUCAUAGAAAUGUUCCUGAAGGCAAGCUUUUCACCAAAGAGUUUGCAUUGCAGAAACUCUUAAGCUUCAUUAAUAAUGCAAAAAGGCAAGAUAAUGGCAAGCUGUUUGCCUGUGAUGGCCAGGAAAUACCGUGGUAAUCGCUUAGUGUGGUAGAUUGAUUAAAAAUUGAUGACUGAGUGAUGCAGUAGGGUGAUCCAUUAUUUUUUAUCUUUUUUUUGUUCUCCCUGAAGCAAAUUUGUAAAUCCUAAUCAAGAACAAUAUGCUACCCCAAGGAGCAAGGUAGGAUCUAAGAUUAAUUUUUUGGUUUCUUAUUUGUAACUUAAUUUUUCACUUGUGAAAUGCUAAUUAUUCGAGGCUUCAUUUGGUUUUGAAGCAAUCAAAUUGUUGGCAGGACUGCACAUGCCAGCAUUCUUGGUGAUAAUUUGAUGCUCCCAUAAGGCCAUGCUUAUUAUACA